rnacentral:tRNA from 1 species
UCCUUGGUGGUCCAGUGGUUAGGAUUUGGUGCUUUUAUUGCUGUGGUCCAGGUUCGGUCCCUGGUUGGGGAA